rnacentral:rRNA from 1 species
GACGAACGCUGGCGGCGUGCCUAAUACAUGCAAGUAGAACGCUGAAGGAGGAGCUUGCUUCUCUGGAUGAGUUGCGAACGGGUGAGUAACGCGUAGGUAACCUGCCUGGUAGCGGGGGAUAACUAUUGGAAACGAUAGCUAAUACCGCAUAAUAGUAGAUGUUGCAUGACAUUUGCUUAAAAGGUGCAAUUGCAUCACUACCAGAUGGACCUGCGUUGUAUUAGCUAGUUGGUGGGGUAACGGCUCACCAAGGCGACGAUACAUAGCCGACCUGAGAGGGUGAUCGGCCACACUGGGACUGAGACACGGCCCAGACUCCUACGGGAGGCAGCAGUAGGGAAUCUUCGGCAUUGGACGGAAGUCUGACCGAGCAACGCCGCGUGAGUGAAGAAGGUUGUCGGAUCGUAAAGCUCUGUUGUAAGAGAAGAACGAGUGUGAGAGUGGAAAGUUCACACUGUGACGGUAUCUUACCAGAAAGGGACGGCUAACUACGUG